GUCACGGUCCUGGGUAGGUGGUAAGAAAAUUGGGUUUGUAGUCGACCAGUCACUCAGAUGCAAAGUAAUCCACCAAACUCUCUCCGUCUUUCUACAUCCACUUGACGUCUCUUCCUCUCUCUUCACUUGCUUACACUUCUUCUCUGCUUCCGCUCUUCCUCUCUGUCACCGUCCACAUCUUCCUUUAUCUCUUUGUGACUCUGCCUCUCUCUUCAGUUUUGUGGAUGAAAGGACCUGGUUUGUUGGUGUCACAUCUCGUACUGUGAACUCCCUUCUGUCUUUCCGAAGAGAAAAGAGUUGAGGACUGCGUUGGGAACACGGCCGGUGGAUGUUCUACUCAUGGAUUGGGUUUGCAGGGACACCUACAGGAGAAAAAGGACAUGGCAGUGUCAUAUGUCAACGAUGAC
ensembl:lncRNA